rnacentral:snoRNA from 1 species
UGUCGAUGAUGAGAAAACUUUUUCCAGUUCUGCUACUGAAGCACUGUGAUGACACCGAAUAUUUACCAAACCAAGAUCUCUGAUAC